UACGAAGGGGGGCUAGCGUUGCUCGGAAUCACUGGGCGUAAAGCGCACGUAGGCGGAUCUUUUAAGUCAGGGGGUGAAAUCCCAAGGCUCAACCUUGGAACUGCCUUUGAUACUGGGGAUCUCGAGUCCGGAAGAGGUUGGUGGAACUGCGAGUGUAGAGGUGAAAUUCGUAGAUAUUCGCAAGAACACCAGUGGCGAAGGCGGCCAACUGGUCCGGAACUGACGCUGAGGUGCGAAAGCGUGGGGAGCGAACAGG
rnacentral:rRNA from 1 species